rnacentral:rRNA from 1 species
AACGCGUGGGAAUCUGCCCUUGGGUUCGGAAUAACAGUUGGAAACGACUGCUAAUACCGGAUGAUGACUUCGGUCCAAAGAUUUAUCGCCCAAGGAUGAGCCCGCGUAGGAUUAGCUUGUUGGUGAGGUAAAGGCUCACCAAGGCGACGAUCCUUAGCUGGUCUGAGAGGAUGAUCAGCCACACUGGGACUGAGACACGGCCCAGACUCCUACGGGAGGCAGCAGUGGGGAAUAUUGGACAAUGGGCGAAAGCCUGAUCCAGCAAUGCCGCGUGAGUGAUGAAGGCCUUAGGGUUGUAAAGCUCUUUUACCCGGGAUGAUAAUGACAGUACCGGGAGAAUAAGCUCCGGCUAACUCCGUGCCAGCAGCCGCGGUAAUACGGAGGGAGCUAGCGUUGUUCGGAAUUACUGGGCGUAAAGCGCACGUAGGCGGCCAUUCAAGUCAGAGGUGAAAGCCCGGGGCUCAACCCCGGAAUAGCCUUUGAAACUAGAUGGCUUGAAUCCAGGAGAGGUGAGUGGAAUUCCGAGUGUAGAGGUGAAAUUCGUAGAUAUUCGGAAG